GAUGAAGAACGUAGCGAAAUGCGAUAAGUAAUGUGAAUUGCAGAAUUCAGUGAAUCAUCGAAUCUUUGAACGCACAUUGCGCCCGCCAGUAUUCUGGCGGGCAUGCCUGUUCGAGCGUCAUUACAACCCUCAGGCCCCCGGGCCUGGCGUUGGGGAUCGGCGGAAGCCCCCUGUGGGCACACGCCGUCCCUCAAAUACAGUGGCGGUCCCGCCGCAGCUUCCAUUGCGUAGUAGCUAACACCUCGCAACUGGAGAGCGGCGCGGCCAUGCCGUAAAACACCCAACUUCUGAAUGUUGACCUCGAAUCAGGUAGGAAUAUCCGCUGAACUUAAGCAUAUCAAUAAGCGGAGGA
rnacentral:misc_RNA from 1 species